AGCUCAAGAAAUUCGCAAUUGUGAACUUACUGUUGUUUUUUCGAGACAUCUCAGAAGAUGAUGAUGCUGUAAUUCGAAUAUAUCUUCAUCGCGGUAGUUAUCAUCCAGC